UCCAAUCCGUAAAGGUCAGAACAUGGGAAAAUAUUAUUGUUGCAUGACAAAUUGUCAUAAUUUUCGGGGUAAGAUCGGCAAAUUUAACAAAAAAGUUACUUUGCACAAACUGCCAAAAGGAAAAGAAUCUAGAAGGCUAUAAGCCGGAAAUACUGGAAAGCAACAGCGAGUGCGUACUGUCCAUUUCAAAAACGGUGUCGGAUCUAACUUUUUUGAAAAAAAGAUACCCACUGAAAAUUUAGCGCAGAGAGCUGACCCACCUAAACGACCAAAAGUCAGGUCUCGAAGAUUGAAGAGGAGCCCCACAACUGAUUCUGAUGGUGCCACACUUGGGCCAACCAAAUGCCAAGUAGAGAUGAUGCGUGGAUUUGCCAAACCAGCUGGUAAUGAAUCGAGUCUGGAUGAAGAUGCCAUCCAGUCACAGGUGCCUUCUCAGUCUGUACAGUCAUGUACAGUUGGAAUACAGAACACUCCAGUAACGUGUGAUGUCAGUGUUGGUACUAGCAGACCAGACAUUAUUAUUGAGGAUAUACAAGACUCAAAUGUUGAUAUAAACAAAGCAGACGGCACAUAUCGAGUGCAGAUAUAGCUGAUGCAGUAAAGUUCUAUGUUUGUAUUUACAUGAUGGUGUAUUCAAUCAUCUUGGUCUAAGUACAGGCAUGGUUGGCAGUAGAUCAUCUUUAGAUCGUAUCAGAAGAAUAUAUGAUACAAACGUCAUGAAAUGAAAGUCAACAGUCACAGACAGUCUGGUGUUUUUGGAUGCAUCAUCACAGUCAACUAUCCCAUAUGAAGAACAUUCUGAAUGUCAAAUUUGUGUCUCUUUUCCAUUAACAUGACAGUGGGAAAUUGCCAAGAACAUGAAAAUGGCAAUGAUGAAUUGAUGGAAUAUUCAUUACCAGCAUCCCCAUUGCAAGGUUCAGCCCCUUGCAUUGAUUCUCCAUAUGCUAGUGACAUUGGAGGCAGUGACACACCGGUGAACAAGGAUUAUAAAGGUAUUAUAAUGAUCUGAGAAUUAAAAACAUUUCCAAAUAAUAUGACACCAAUGUUGACAUUUGUAAAUAAAGAUGAUGUACCUUUAAGAUAGUUUUGGGAAUAGUUGUUUCUUUACAUACAACUUUUCAGAACUUCAUGAAAUACAAUUCCUUGAAUAUUUGAUCUUAUGUAGGCAGUAUAUUCUUUGUUGAAUGAUACCAGUGUUUCUGCCAGAAAGAAAGUAAUGGGUAUGGUGCUAUGGAAUUGAAU